rnacentral:tRNA from 1 species
GGGCCUAUAGCUCAGUGGUAGAGCGUUUGAUUGCAGAUCAAGACGUCACCGGUUUGAACCCGGUGGGGCCCU